AUUGAACGCUGGCGGCAGGCCUAACACAUGCAAGUCGAACGAGUGGCGGACGGGUGAGUAAUGUCUGGGAAACUGCCUGAUGGAGGGGGCUAACUACUGGAAACGGUAGCUAAUACCGCAUACCAUCGGAUGUGUCCAGAUGGGAUUAGCUAGUAGGUGGGGUAAAGGCUCACCUAGGCGACGAUCCCUAGCUGGUCGGAGAGGAGGACCAGGCACACGGGACGUGAGACACGGUCCAUACUCCAACGAGAGGCAGCAGUGGGGAAUAUUGCACAAUGGGCGCAAGCCUGCUGCGGCCAUGCCGCAUGUAUGAAGAAGGCCUUCGUGUUGUAAAGGACUUUCAGCGUGGAGGCGUUACCCGCAGAAGAAGCACCGGCUAACUCCGUGCCAGCAGCCGCGGUAAUUC
rnacentral:rRNA from 1 species